rnacentral:rRNA from 1 species
GAUGAGCGCUAGCUACAGGCUUAACACAUGCAAGUCGCGGGGCAGCAUGGGGGUUGCUUGCAAUCCCCGAUGGCGACCGGCGCACGGGUGAGUAACGCGUAUCCAACCUGCCCUUCACCACGGGAUAACCCGGCGAAAGUCGGACUAAUACCGUAUGUUGUCCAUUGACGGCAUCCGAUUUGGACGAAAGGCUUGGCGGUGAGGGAUGGGGAUGCGUCCGAUUAGCCAGACGGCGGGGUAACGGCCCACCGUGGCUACGAUCGGUAGGGGUUCUGAGAGGAAGGUCCCCCACACGGGAACUGAGACACGGUCCAGACUCCUACGGGAGGCAGCAGUGAGGAAUAUUGGUCAAUGGGCGUAAGCCUGAACCAGCCAAGUAGCGUGCAGGAUGACGGCCCUAUGGGUUGUAAACUGCUUUUAUGCGGGGAUAAAGUGGCCCACGUGUGGGCUUUUGCAGGUACCGCAUGAAUAAGGACCGGCUAAUUCCGUG